UACGUAGGGUCCGAGCGUUGUCCGGAAUUACUGGGCGUAAAGAGCUCGUAGGUGGUUUGUCGCGUUGUUCGUGAAAACUCACAGCUUAACUGUGGGCGUGCGGGCGAUACGGGCAGACUUGAGUACUGCAGGGGAGACUGGAAUUCCUGGUGUAGCGGUGAAAUGCGCAGAUAUCAGGAGGAACACCGGUGGCGAAGGCGGGUCUCUGGGCCGAUACUGACGCUGAGGAGCGAAAGCAUGGGUAGCGAACAGG
rnacentral:rRNA from 1 species